CUACGGGUGGCUGCAGUGAGGAAUAUUGCACAAUGGGGGGAACCCUGAUGCAGCAACGCCGCGUGGAGGAUGACGCAUUUCGGUGUGUAAACUCCUUUUAUAUGUCAAGAAAAUGACGGUAGCAUAUGAAUAAGCACCGGCUAACUCCGUGCCAGCAGCCGCGGUAAUACGGAGGGUGCAAGCAUUACUCGGAAUCACUGGGCGUAAAGGACGCGUAGGCGGGUUGGAAAGUCAGGUGUGAAAUCCUACAGCUUAACUGUAGAACUGCACUUGAAACUUCUAGUCUAGAGUAUGGGAGAGGGAGAUGGAAUUAGUGGUGUAGGGGUAAAAUCCGUAGAUAUCACUAGGAAUACCUAAAGCGAAGGCGAUCUCCUGGAACAUUACUGACGCUAAGGCGUGAAAGCGUGGGGAGCAAACAGGAUUAGAUACCCGUGUAGUC
rnacentral:rRNA from 1 species